CAUGCAGGUACCAGAGGAGCACUACUGCUAUAUCUAUUGCUGCACCAAUUCGAUAUGCCCAUCUGGCAGCCUCCCAAGCAUCUCAUUUCCUGAAGUAUGAAGACCUGUCAGAAACAUCAUCGGGUCAUGGAGGCGUGACUUCUGCUGGAAAUCCUCCUGUGCCUGAGCUCCCCAAGCUGCAUAACAGAGUGUGCAGGUCCAUGUUCUUCUGUUAGUCAUACCUGUAAAAAGAAUGAUCUGAAACACUACUAGCCCCUCGGUUUACCCUGAAGUGUGUUGGAUAUUAGGAUAUUUCGAUGACCACUGUGUCUCUCUUUACGCUUUCUGCUAACUGCUAAAUAAUGCAUACAGUUUUGGCUGCAACAUACGUGUACAGGUCGUCGUUGAUAAGAAAUUUUGGAUCAAAUAAUCUGUUGCUAUGUUUAUGCAGUUUGUAAUCUUUUGAAUGUUAAUAAACUUGAUUUUAUUGA